rnacentral:rRNA from 1 species
GUCGAGAAUCUUCCGCAAUGCGCGAAAGCGUGACGGAGCGACACCGCGUGAUGGAUGAAGUCCUUCGGGGCGUAAACAUCUUUUAUAAAGGAGGAAAUUUUUGACGUUACUUUAUGAAUAAGGGGCUCCCAAUCUCGUGCCAGCAGGAGCGGUAAUACGAGAGCCUCAAGCGUUAUCCGGAAUCAUUGGGCGUAAAGGGUGCGUAGGUGGUUUGAUUAGUCUCCCGUUAAACCUUCGAGCUUAACUCGAAAAGAGCGGGGGAAACGGUCAAACUAGAGUAUGUGAGAGGUGUGUGGAACUCAUGGUGUAGGGGUGAAAUCCGUUGAUAUCAUGGGGAACACCAAAAGCGAAGGCAGCACACUGGCACAUCACUGACACUGAGGCACGAAACCUAAGGUAGCGAAUGGGAUUAGAUACCCUGGUAGUCC